UGGGGAAUAUUGGACAAUGGGCAAAAGCCUGAUCCAGCCAUGCCGCGUGUGUGAAGAAGGCCUUUUGGUUGUAAAGCACUUUAAGCGAGGAGGAGGCUACUUAGAUUAAUACUCUAGGAUAGUGGACGUUACUCGCAGAAUAAGCACCGGCUAACUCUGUGCCAGCAGCCGCGGUAAUACAGAGGGUGCGAGCGUUAAUCGGAUUUACUGGGCGUAAAGCGUGCGUAGGCGGCUUUUUAAGUCGGAUGUGAAAUCCCUGAGCUUAACUUAGGAAUUGCAUUCGAUACUGGGAAGCUAGAGUAUGGGAGAGGAUGGUAGAAUUCCAGGUGUAGCGGUGAAAUGCGUAGAGAUCUGGAGGAAUACCGAUGGCGAAGGCAGCCAUCUGGCCUAAUACUGACGCUGAGGUACGAAAGCAUGGGGAGCAAACAGG
rnacentral:rRNA from 1 species